rnacentral:rRNA from 1 species
UACGUAGGGUCCAAGCGUUAAUCGGAAUUACUGGGCGUAAAGCGUGCGCAGGCGGUUCGUUAAGUCAGCUGUGAAAGCCCCGGGCUCAACCUGGGAAUUGCGGUUGAAACUGGCGAACUAGAAUCUGGCAGAGGGGGGUGGAAUUCCACGUGUAGCAGUGAAAUGCGUAGAGAUGUGGAGGAAUACCGGUGGCGAAGGCGGCAUCCUGGACCGGCAUUGACGCUGAGUGAGCGAAAGCCAGGGGAGCAAACAGG